UGUUCCAUUGCUAGGCGAAGUUCGUAGUUGAUACUUAUUGCUGUUACGCGCAAUUCUGUCAAAUAUUAUAAUAAAUUUAUUACCGAGAGAUACCUGACAAGACCAUCUGGGGUCUGGGAAAUUCUGACAUUGUUGAUGAUCCAGUUUUCAACACCUUCAUCUGUCAUCCAAUAUUGAGCAGCUCCAAGUGCUGUGAUUGCUUCUUGAAAGCACGACGAUCCAUGUCGCGAGCCAGAAUAAAAAACGCUUAAGGAAAAGUCCUAAAAUGGUGUCGAAAUGAAGUGUAAUCGGAUAUAAUUACAAUCUUCACUUGUUAACAAGAUUGUGAAUCUAUUAUACUUGACUCAUAUCCGAAAACGAGUCAGUAGUAGUUCUGGUUCCUGCUGCAUCCACUAAAUAUACAAGAGCACAUUGUUCACAAGUAAAACUGACACCCUUGUACCACAUCUUCGCAUAUCUAAUAGUAUAGGUGGAAAUACAAAUUUGAUUAUAAUGUA